rnacentral:lncRNA from 1 species
UAAUCUCUAUGGGCUAAUGGGAGGCCUGGAAAGAGGCUUCACUAUAUGUAGAUGGGCUCGCAAGACUUCUCAGAAUAUACAGAGCAGUGAAUGAGUCCUUUUCACUUAUCCAUCCAUGGAGGCACCAAGUAGAUUCCAAAGAGCAACAGACAAAUCAAUAAUUCAUAUAGAUUCAUGUAUUUACUAACAAAUAUUAUUCAAAUCUCUUGUUGAAUUUAAAUCUAAAGUAAUAAUACAAAAACUAAAUCUAUUUAUGGCCACAAGCCCUAAACUAUAAACAAGAGUGAAAGUACAAGGAUGUUUUUAAUAUUAAAAAGAAAAUAAUUCCAAGAGAGAUGAGAAGGAAGAAGGAAGGAAUGAUCAAGAGCUCCAUAGUGGCUGAAUUGAAUGGAAAGGAGAGCAAGUUCCACACGUUAUAGACGAAAGAAAUAAAAAGCCAUCAGUCUUCUUCAUUGCAAUGAUGGGAAUAAGAUUACAAAAUGUUCUUCGGAUUGGAAUCUUUUUCUCUGGACCCAGUCACGGAGCAAACGAAGCCGACAGGAGGCCGCAUGUUCCCUUUUUGCCUAUAUCCAGUAUAAAAUAAAACGUGAAAAACACCGAAUUCAUACGAGACGAGAGUAGAGGCCUUGCUUUAUGGGAAAACUAAGAAAUAAUUAAGGCUUAAACUUCCCACUUCCCAGCUGUGUUAGCAAAGAGGAAAGACAGGUGUAGUUUCGUAGCUAGCACUGGCUUGGUCUUGGACAAC